CGUGCUCUCUCUUCCUUUCGUUCCAUCCCGAUCGCGCGUGUGUGAGAGAGAGGAGGAAGCUGCUGCGUCCCUCGCUCGUCUCGUCUGCAAGUGGCGCAGCCCCAGCCCUGCCCGAGUCGUCACUGCAGACGCUGGGAGGGAGAAGACGAUGGCGAUGCUCCUUGCCAUUUCCUCCAUGUAGUCUCCAUCUCCGACUCUCCAAAGACUCGCCAGAUAGAGCUCAGAAUCAGAUCAAAGCAGCGUGCCCUGUAGCACACUCGCCAUCGAUCGAGGUAGCAGCAGCCCCUGCAGGGUGGAGACGACGGCGCCUUUCACCAGGCCGGCCAGCACGGAAGAGCUAGGGAGAGGUGCCGAUCGAUCGAAGAAGGGUCGAUAUGAACGAAUUUCAAGUGGUUCUCCGAUCCAGUUCUUGGAUCUGUCAAGUUAUUACCUAACUAGCUUGCUCCGAAAACUCGGUGAGGUUAUUCACUUAUGAUUUUAAUUUGGCUUGCAGUUUUGAGCACAUGAGCCGGUUAUUUUUCAUGUUUUAGUACAAUUUUUCCUGGUUCCUAAAUUCAUGAAAACAGGCAUAAUGAAUUCUUUAUUUAGAAAAAGAGUCUUGAAUUCCCGGCUUGUUUGAGAGUACAUUGAAGGAAUACAUUUUUCUUUUGAUCGAUCACGCAACUCUUCUCAAAUGAAUACAAUGAGGAAUUAAUUAAUCUGGUCAAUAUCAUGUUUUGAUUUGAUUUAUUUGCCCUACCUACUGUUUCUUUCAUUAUGCUUGAUUUCAAUACCAACUCAGAGUCUAUUUUAUUCUUGUGUGUUCUUAAGCACGUGCGUCCUGUGCACAGCAUUCCUAGGAUUUUUCCCCUUUUCCUUUUUUAAAUGAAACUUUCAUGCGUUUGGCAUUGUGCUGCAAAUGACAAACGCAUAAGCAAGCUAAGACUCGAUCGGUUCCUGCUAGUUCACAUGAAGCAAGAAAUAAUUCGGUGAGUGGUUUCACUCGUUUAAUUUCUUUCCUCAAUUGUUUUCUCAUAUAAUUCUUUAUUUACAUUAUAUUUCAAUAAUUAGUCUCUGUCUCCAGUAGGCGUAUCAUAUAUAUGCUUGCAAGCAUAAUUUUACUACAUCCAGUCAGAUAUAGUUCAUGUUUCAGACAAUCAGACAACAAAAAGUAACUAAAUGCAGAUCAAAUUAGCUGUCCAAAUCCACGUCAUCUAAUUUUGACCGCAGUUUUUUUUAAAAAAAAAUUACCUGAAGGGAGUAUCUGUGAAAAAGUACUGCUUCUAGCUAAUAUAGUAAACAUUAAGAGAAGGAAUUCCUCAGAACUUAGGUGAUCACUUUUUUUUUGCAAGAUAAGGUUAAUUCUGAAUAACAUAUAAUGCUGAAGUGAUUAAGUGUAAGUUAAUUGACAGCCAGAAACAAUGGGUUAUGAAGUAUUUGUCCAUCGUUAUUUCUGUUUAAUUCCUGUGAUGUGCAAUGGUCUCAACUAUGGAGCUGUUCACAUGAGCUCCUGAGUGUGCAUCGGCGUUCAUUCUGUACGUACCUUUUCUCUAACUAACCCUAUUUAGGAGUAGAUGUUUUUUUUACUGUCAUAUUGGUUCAUAGGUACUAUUAGGAGUACGUCUCUAAUGGUGAUCAAGGGCUGGAGCUGGAGGGAUUACCAUCGGAUCAGUAACUGAACUAAACUUUCUAUUUGCAUCCAUGGCUAGGGAGACGCGCCCAUGCUCUCAAUUUUGACACCGUAUCCAAGCUUAGCACCCGUUGCAAGGCCGGCCCGACUCAAUCAGAUCGAAGCUGCGAGCAAACGCAUGUCAUGCUGCACUGCCAUAACUAACCAACCAGUAACAGCACCAGUACUGCUGCAGUACAAGCAACAGCUCGCGGCUAGGGCCCACCAGCCAGCACCACAAAUGAUCUGUUGAUGAUGAUCGCCAUGGCAUUGCCAGGGCCCACCUACACCAUCUCCCACUCUCAUCAACCAUGUACGCUCCUGCCUCCCUGGCCAGCAGCAGCCCGAGCGAAGCAGUUCUUCAGUGGCAGCUGCAGUAGCAGAGCUACUAAAGCUGCAGUUCUACGAGCAAGAACGCAUGCAGGGACAUGCCAUGAUCUGCGAGCACCUGGGUCCCCUUUUGCACAAUUGUGGCGAUGGAGACAGCAUGGCAGUUGCCUCUGCUUGGAUGAACUCAUGAACACCUGCCUAUGGUGUCUCAGUUAUCCAAAGUGAUGCCACUGAACCGUUGCUGAAAGUAACUGUCACAGUGUCCUGGAAGCAGGAGCAAGAUGACUGACAACGAAGAUGUGGAUCACAUUAUCAUUGCAAUUUACAAGACAAUAUAGCCCAGCAAUAGUUUGCCUUGAAAUCUGUAACUCUGGAUUAGUAUAUACAUCCAGGCUAUUAUGUAUGUGUUUGUACUGACAAAGACUUGAAUCAAUUGCAAAUUAGUUUACCACCCAAAAACAAGUUGUACAUGUACAAUGAAAAUGUGUAAUCAAUCCACAGUAUUGUACAUACAAAAGUUGUUCCCUCA